AUUAAACGUGUCGGGCUUUUUCGG
rnacentral:miRNA from 1 species